rnacentral:rRNA from 1 species
UUAAAAAAGGGACUCGGCAAACAAAGACCCCAACUGUUUAACAAAAACAUAACCUUUAGCCAAACAAAUAUUAAAGGCAACGCCUGCCCAGUGAACAAUUAAACGGCCGCGGUACCCUAACCGUGCAAAGGUAGCGUAAUCAUUUGUCUACUAAUUAUAGACCUGUAUGAAAGGCAAAAUGAGGGCCUGACUGUCUCUUAUAAUAAAUCAAUUAAACUGAUCUUCUAGUAAAAAAGCUAGAAUUCCAACAUAAGACCAGAAGACCCUGUGAAGCUUAAACUAAACCAUUAAACCCAAUAAUGACUACUUUCGGUUGGGGCGACCUUGGAAAAAAAAAGAACUUCCAAACAAUGUGACUAUACUCACACUAUAAACCAGGCCUACAAGCCAAUAAACGACCCAGCACAGCUACAAAGAACCAAUGAAAGCCAUGGUCC